rnacentral:rRNA from 1 species
AGAAUCAACGCUGGCGGCGUGCCCAACACAUGCAAGUCGAACGAGAAAGUGGAGCAAUCCAUGAGUACAGUGGCGCACGGGUGAGUAACACGUGACUAACCUACCCUUGAGUUCGGAAUAACUUCGGGAAACCGAGGCUAAUACCGGAUAAUAUCUACGGAUCAAAGGAGCAAUUCGCUUAAGGAGGGGGUCGCGGCAGAUUAGUUAGUUGGCGGGGUAAUGGCCCACCAAGACGAUGAUCUGUAUCCGGCCUGAGAGGGCGCACGGACACACUGGAACUGAAACACGGUCCAGACUCCUACGGGAGGCAGCAGUGGGGAAUUUUGCGCAAUGGGGGAAACCCUGACGCAGCAACGCCGCGUGGAGGAUGAAAUCCCUUGGGAUGUAAACUCCUUUCGAUCGGGACGAUUAUGACGGUACCGGAAGAAGAAGCCCCGGCUAACUUCGUGCCAGCAGCCGC